rnacentral:rRNA from 1 species
GAUGAACGCUGGCGGCGUGCCUAAUACAUGCAAGUCGAGCGAACGGACGAGAAGCUUGCUUCUCUGAUGUUAGCGGCGGACGGGUGAGUAACACGUGGAUAACCUACCUAUAAGACUGGGAUAACUUCGGGAAACCGGAGCUAAUACCGGAUAAUAUUUUGAACCGCAUGGGUCAAAAGUGAAAGACGGUCUUGCUGUCACGUAUAGAUGGAUCCGCGCUGCAUUAGCUAGUUGGUAAGGUAACGGCUUACCAAGGCAACGAUGCAUAGACGACCUGAGAGGGUGAUCGGCCACACUGGAACUGAGACACGCUCCAGACUCCUGCGGGACGCAGCAGUAGGGAAUCUUCCGCAAUGGGCGAAAGCCUGACGGAGCAACGCCGCGUGAGUGAUGAAGGUCUUCGGAUCGUAAAACUCUGUUAUUAGGGAAGAACAUAUGUGUAAGUAACUGUGCACAUCUUGACGGUACCUAAUCAGAAAGCCACGGCUAACUACGUG